rnacentral:tRNA from 1 species
AGGGGAGUAGCUCAACUGGUAGAGUAGCGGACUCCAAAUCCGUUGGUUGCGGGUUCAAGUCCUGCCUCCCCUGCCA